rnacentral:rRNA from 1 species
UACGUAGGGUGCGAGCGUUGUCCGGAAUUAUUGGGCGUAAAGAGCUCGUAGGCGGUGUGUCGCGUCGGCCGUGAAAACCUGCAGCUUAACUGUGGGCUUGCGGUCGAUACGGGCAUCACUGGAGUUCGGCAGGGGAGACUGGAAUUCCUGGUGUAGCGGUGAAAUGCGCAGAUAUCAGGAGGACCACCGGUGGGGUAGGCGGCUCUCUGGACCGCCACUGACGCUGAGACACGAAAGCGUGGGUAGCAAACAGG